CCAGAACCUGGGAGACCAUCUGAGCCGACCCGCCCAGAGCGCUCCGGGAAAGGCCCUAUGGACAGCUAAGGAAACUGACUUCCCAGCAGCUCCUGUCACCAGGGCCCAAAGUCCAUCCGGGAGCCAGGCCAUCACCUGACCAGGCAGGAAGUGCCAACCUGUCCCCAGGGAAGAACCAGCAAUAACCAGACUUGGGACAGCAGCCUCCAGGCCUUAUGAUUUUGGAAAACCCAGGACUACCCCAUAUUGCCCUCACACCCAUCUAACCCUCCACCACCCUCCACCGUGGGAGACCUGCCUCCCAUAGGCUCCAGCUUUGUCCCCCGCUGAACAUGGCCUCCUCCCCACAGACUCCAGCCUGGGCAGCCAGGCCAAAGUUUGGCUGGGUCUCCUUCGUUAUACAGAGACACCAGGAAGAGAAAGAGCCUGCAAAUCACACAGCCAGCGUUGGGAGCUCCUGUGGCUUCCUUCAGUGCUUAGACCAAUUGGAGGAGCCAGAAGUAUAGUGGAGGGUGGGGCAAUUCUGCAAAGUUGAAGGUGAGAGAUUAAUAAUUGUAUUCCUAUUCUAUGGAUAAGAAAGCCUAAGAGAGGUGGAGUGACUUGCCAAACAGUCACACAGAUAUCUCUGGACAGAAGUGGAACUUAAAACUGACUUGUGUUCAUG